GUCUGUGGUGAUAACACCUUCGGUGCCCGGUCACACCUGAUCUCAGAAGCUCAGCAAGAUCGGGCCUGGUAACCGCUGAAG
rnacentral:rRNA from 1 species